CUCAGAGAGGAUUAAAGAGGGACAUUCGAGUCACUUCACAGUCACUGCCGCACAGACAUGAUGGCUUUACUGGGAAUGUUCCUCUGGACACUGGCCCUGUCUGUUCAAGGCUCUGGGGCUCAGAUCAUCCUGACUCAGAGUCCAGCAGUGGAAUCGGUCGCUGUAGGAGUCACUGUCACUCUGAACUGCCAAUCCAGCAGCUCUGCAUUUCAGAGCAGCUUAGCCUGGUAUCAGCAGAAACCUGGAGAAAGUCCCAAACUUCUCUUCUCCUCAGUGGGUAACAAGGUGUCUGGGAUUCCAGACCGUUUCUCCGAUAGUCGUGUUGGCACAAAUUUCAGGCUGAAAAUCAGUGGAGUGCAGGCUGAAGAUGCAGGAGAUUAUUACUGUCAACAGCAUUAUGAUUUUCCGUACACACAGUGACACAGGCCAGUACAAAAACCUCACUCAGCUGUGCAUGCGCUCAGUCUAGGAAAACAACUAUCAAAACUGGCAAGAUAUAUUCACACUACUGUAAUUCACUGGAUUAUAAUGGUCCUUCAUACCCUGAGGCCCUGUACUGGAUGGUGGGUGCUUAUUUAUUUAUUUAUUUAUUUUAUUUUAUUUUAUUUACUUAAUUUGUUCAUUUUCAUUGGGAAAUGGUUUCAUCCUUUAAUUUAUUGGACUAUGCACCAUACUUUCUAUAAUUUCUAUGAUGAAAAAAAUACUUUUAUAAAUCUGAAUAUUUAUUA